rnacentral:rRNA from 1 species
GACGAACGCUGGCGGCGUGCUUAACACAUGCAAGUCGAACGGAAAGGCCCUGCUUGCGGGGUACUCGAGUGGCGAACGGGUGGGUAACACGUGGGUGAUCUGCCCUGCACUUCGGGAUAAGCCUGGGAAAAUGGGUCUAAUACUGGAUAGGGGCCAUCUUUAGUGUGGUGGUUGGAAAGUUUUUUCGGUGUGGGGUGAGCUCGCGGCCUAUCAGCUUGUUGGUGGGGUAGUGGCCUACCAAGGCGGCGACGGGUAGCCGGCCUGGGAGGGUGGACGGCCACAUUGGGACUGAGAUACGGCCCAGACUCCUACGGGGGGCAGCAGUGGGGAAUAUUGCACAAUGGGCGCAAGCCUGAUGCAGCGACGCCGCGGGGGGGAUGACGGCCUUCGGGUUGUAAACCCCUUUCGCCAGGGACGAAGCUUUUUGUGACGGUACCUGGAGAAGAAGCACCGGCUAACUACGUG